GGACUACUGGGGUUUCUAAUCCCGUUUGCUCCCCUGGCUUUCGCGCCUCAGCGUCAGAAGAGGUCCAGCCGUUCGCUUUCGCCACCGGCGUUCCUUCCGAUAUCAACGCAUUUCACCGCUCCACCGGAAGUUCCAACGGCCCCUACCUCGCUCGAGACCACCAGUAUCCAAGGCUGUUUUCCGGUUAAGCCGAAAGAUUUCACCCCGGACUUGAUGAUCCGCCUACGCGCCCUUUAAGCCCAGUGAUUCCGAACAACGUUCGCACGGUUCGUCUUACCGCGGCUGCUGGCAC
rnacentral:rRNA from 1 species